AAGCAAAGCAGCAUGCCAUCUGAACUCAUGGACUCACCGCCUUCUGAACUUCCUCCUAAUGAGAGACAGGUUGGCUUCUGGAAGACAGAUGUUGACAACAACUAUGGUGUAAAAGAUGGUCAAGUAUAUGUAGUUGGUGGCACCUCACUUGAGUCAUUGCCCAUGGAGAAACACAAGAUGUCAUCUGAUUCUCAUAAAGUGAACCACUUUGAUGCCCCUA